ACGCUCGACACCUACGGGAAGCAGCAGUGGGGAAUAUUGCACAAUGGGGGAAACCCUGAUGCAGCGACGCCGCGUGGAGGAAGAAGGUCUUCGGAUUGUAAACUCCUGUUGUUGGGGAAAAAGAGGAUGGUACCCAACAAGGAAGUGACGGCUAACUACGUGCCAGCAGCUGCGGUAAUCUGGAGCGGGCUGGCAAGGC
rnacentral:rRNA from 1 species